rnacentral:rRNA from 1 species
AUUGAACGCUGGCGGCAUGCCUUACACAUGCAAGUCGAACGGCAGCACGGGAGCAAUCCUGGUGGCGAGUGGCGAACGGGUGAGUAAUAUAUCGGAACGUGCCCAGUCUGGGGGNUAACGUAGCGAAAGCUACGCUAAUACCGCAUACGAUCUAUGGAUGAAAGGCGGGGGAUCGCAAGACCUCGCGCGAUUGGAGCGGCCGAUAUCAGAUUAGGUAGUUGGUGAGGUAAGGCUCACCAAGCCGACGAUCUGUAGCUGGUCUGAGAGGACGACAGCCACACUGGGACUGAGACACGGCCCAGACUCCUACGGGAGGCAGCAGGUGGGGAAUUUUUGGACAAUGGGCGCAAGCCUGAUCCAGCAAUGCCGCGUGCAGGAUG